CUUCUCAGGCUGAAGACCAGCCCAGCGCAGCAGUGUCUAGUGCCUCUAGACCAAGCACUACAGUCUCUACACCAGAUCCUACAGUUCCAACCCCUGUCCCCAGAGCCACUGCAGAUGUGUCCAAUCCCGCUCAGCCAUGCAGGACCGUCUCUACUGCUCCUUCUGGGGCAUUAUUGCAAGGUCCAUCUGUAGUUCAACUUCCUCGUUUGUGGUCUGAGACCAUA